GCCCCUUCGGCCCUCCAGGGAAAUCAAAAUUGUAAUAUCAGUUUGCUUUUUAUUGGCUCGGCUCUGCGAUCUCGGCGGCUGCGUCUUUGUUAUGGUCUCCGGCGCGGUGACAUUCAGCGGAGCCUCCGCGGUGCCCUCGCACCUCCGGGCCGGGAAGGGCCCCCGAAGGCCGCCGGCUGCCGCCGCCGGGGCCGCCCCGCCGGGGGGCGGCGGCUCGGGGAGCCCGCGGGCACGGAGAGGGUGGCACCGAGCUGCGGGCGGGGGGCACGGGGACCCUCCCCGGGGCGCUCCCGGCCCGGGGGCGGCUCCGGCCGCGGCUGCCGGCCGCUUGGCAGCGGAGCCGCUUCGGGCCCCGGCGCCGCUCGGGCUCAGCCCCUCCGCUCCCGCACCCCGGGGAAAGUUGCUGGGGGCGCCGCGCUCCGCCGCCGCGGGCACCGUGGGCAGCGCCGGCACAGCCCUGGGGGGCCGCCGCCGCCGCCCACCCCGGCCCCGGUAGUCGGCCACGCCGCCGGGCUGCCUAGAACCGGGGGCCGAGCCCCGCCGGGCCGGGGCCGGGGGCUGCCCGGCGGCUCCUCUCGGCGGCCCCCACCCCGGCAGCGCCGCCCGGGAGGGGCCCCACGCGUGUCUUGCCCCGCGCGGUGCCGUGGCGCAGGGAAGGCCCGGAGCCGCCGCGCUCCACCUGCCCGGGGAAGGCCGCCCGCGGCGCACGGAGCGCUCCAGGCAGGGGCCGCGGCACCGACACGCGGGGGCCAGGGCUGCCCUGCGCGGCGGGACACACGCAGGGCCACGCGUGCCGUUCCACGCCCCCCCCAACCCGCCACGCUGCGCUCUUCUGAACCCGCUCACGCCAGCGGUGGCAGCGUGGAGCCGCCCCGGGCUGUCCGCGGAGGACCCCUCGGGAUGUGCCCCCGCCCCGCAGGGACCCUCGGAGCAGCAGCACCCGGCGUGGGGUGGGAUCGUCCUCCCCCUCCGGCCCCGCGACCGCUCCCUCGCCCCCGGCUCCCGUUGCGGGCCGGGACCCCCGGGACGAGGCGGCGAGCCCCGAGCCCGGGUCGGGGGGGUACGGAGGGGAGGGUGCUGCCGCCCCCGGGCACAUGGGCAGCCCGCGGCGUGGAGGGGCGCGAAGCCUUCCCGGGGGCUCGUCCCCCACGCGGAGACCCCCGACCACCGGCCGGGUGGGUUGGGUGCCCUUAUCCCGGACCCCUCCGGUGCCCCCCCCGGCCCCGGCCCGCCCCCCCCGGGCUGCGCGGGGCGCGCACCUGCCCCGCGGGCUCUGCCGCCCCCCGCCGGCCGCGGGGCCCGUGGGGGCCGUGCUGA
rnacentral:lncRNA from 1 species